rnacentral:rRNA from 1 species
UUGAACGCUGGCGGCAUGCCUUACCCAUGCCAGUCGAACGGUAACAGGUCUUCGGAUGCUGACGAGUGGCGAACGGGUGAGUAAUACAUCGGAACGUGCCCGAUCGUGGGGGAUAACGAGGCGAAAGCUUUGCUAAUACCGCAUACGAUCUACGGAUGAAAGCGGGGGAUCUUCGGACCUCGCGCGGACGGAGCGGCCGAUGGCAGAUUAGGUAGUUGGUGGGAUAAAAGCUUACCAAGCCGACGAUCUGUAGCUGGUCUGAGAGGAUGAUCAGCCACACUGGGACUGAGACACGGCCCAGACUCCUACGGGAGGCAGCAGUGGGGAAUUUUGGACAAUGGGCGAAAGCCUGAUCCAGCCAUGCCGCGUGCAGGAUGAAGGCCUUCGGGUUGUAAACUGCUUUUGUACGGAACGAAAAGCCUCUUUCUAAUAAAGAGAGGUCAUGACGGUACCGUAAGAAUAAGCACCGGCUAACUACGUG